GAACGCAAAUGGCGCUUCUGGUCUCACCAGGAGCACGUCUGUCUGAGAGUUUG
rnacentral:rRNA from 1 species